rnacentral:rRNA from 1 species
UCGGGGUACUCGAGCGGCGAACGGGUGAGUAACACGUGAGUAACCUGCCCCUGGCUCUGGGAUAGCCUCCGGAAACGGGGAUUAAUACCGGAUAUUCACUUCCUGCUGCAUGGCGGGGGGUGGAAAGUUUUUCGGCCAGGGUGGGGCUCGCGGCCUAUCAGCUUGAUGGUGAGGUCACGGCUCACCAUGGCGACGACGGGUAGCCGGCCUGAGAGGGCGGGCGGCCACACUGGGACUGAGACACGGCCCAGACUCCUACGGGAGGCAGCAGUGGGGAAUAUUGCGCAAUGGGCGGAAGCCUGACGCAGCGACGCCGCGUGCGGGAUGAAGGCCUUCGGGUUGUAAACCGCUUUCACCAGGGACGAAGGGAGACUGACGGUACCUGGGGAAGAAGCGCCGGCUAACUACGUGCCAGCAGCCGCGGUAAUACGUAGGGCGCGAGCGUUGUCCGGAAUUAUUGGGCGUAAAGAGCUCGUAGGCGGCUGGUUGCGUCUGCUGUGAAAUCCCGGGGCUUAACCCCGGGCGUGCAGUGGAUACGGGCCGGCUGGAGGCAGGCAGGGGGAGAAUGGAAUUCACGGUGUAGC